rnacentral:rRNA from 1 species
GACGAACGCUGGCGGCGUGCUUAACACAUGCAAGUCGAACGGAAAGGGCCUGCUUUUGUGGGGUGCUCAAGUGGCGAACGGGUGAGUAACACGUGAGUAACCUGCCCUGGACUUUGGGAUAACUUCAGGAAACUGGGGCUAAUACCGGAUAGGAGCUCCUGCUCCAUGGUGGGGGUUGGAAAGUUUCGGCGGUUGGGGAUGGACUCGCGGCUUAUCAGCUUGGUGGUGGGGUAGUGGCUUACCAAGGCUUUGACGUGUAGCCGGCCUGAGAGGGUGAGCGGCCCCAUUGGGACUGAGAUACGGCCCAGUCUCCUACGGGAGGCAGCAGUGGGGAAUAUUGUACAAUGGGCGGACGCCUGAGGCAGCAACGCCGCGUGCGGGAUGACGGCCUUCGGGUUGUAAACCGCGUUCGCCUGUGACGAAGCGUGAGUGACGGUAAUGGGUAAAGAAGCACCGGCUAACUACGUG